CUAACUUUCAUCACAUUAAUUUCUGCAAAGUGAACAUGUCAGUAUUGCUGUGCAACCUAUGCCAGACUUUUCCAGCAAGAAACAGGUUGUAUGUUUGAGUUUUAACAUGGACCAAUUUAAAAGCACAUGUUCAGCAGAAUCAAAGAACAAAUGUAGAGUUUAUUUUUGUAUCGUAUUUUCUAAUGAUGAUUAUAGUUUUUGAUUUUAAAAUUCAUAUUUUUCCUUUAGAAGGAAUUUAUUGGCUUGGCUUAUCACAAACUGGCUGCAAUGUUUUAUGUGCUAUGGUAGAUUCAUUUUGUUACAGUAAACUAGAAAAUAUAUCUAAAUCAUGAAAGCAAUAACUAUUACUAGACAUUACUAUAGGGUUUCUGGAUUUUCACUCACAAUAGUUGAAUGAAAAUGCAUUUUAGCUUGAAUUUAUCUUUCUCGGUCUUUAUCUAGAAUUGUGAAAGUCAAAAUAUUAUUGAACCUAUCAAAAUAAGAGAAACAAAAAAAAUGCAGAUAUAAGUACUACACAAAUAUAAAUUGCAUAGAAAAUGCACUAAGACACAGUAUAAUCCUACAUUCCAAAAUGAUGUAAUUUAUGUUAAGUGAUUCAUCAAGACUAGAGAAUAUCAUUGGAUUGUUAUUCCUAUGAAAGUUUAAACUAG